rnacentral:rRNA from 1 species
GAUGAACGCUGGCGGCGUGCCUAAUACAUGCAAGUCGAGCGAACAGACGAGGAGCUUGCUCCUCUGACGUUAGCGGCGGACGGGUGAGUAACACGUGGAUAACCUACCUAUAAGACUGGGAUAACUUCGGGAAACCGGAGCUAAUACCGGAUAAUAUAUUGAACCGCAUGGUUCAAUAGUGAAAGACGGUUUUGCUGUCACUUAUAGAUGGAUCCGCGCCGCAUUAGCUAGUUGGUAAGGUAACGGCUUACCAAGGCAACGAUGCGUAGCCGACCUGAGAGGGGGAGCGGCCACACUGGAACAGAGACACGGUCCAGACUCCUACGGGAGGCAGCAGUGGGGAAUCUUCAGCAAUGGGCGAAAGCCGGACGGAGCAACGCCGCGUGGGUGAUGAAGGUCUUGGGAUCGAAAAACUUUGUUAUUGGGGAAGAAAAAUUGUGAAAGAAAUUAUCCACGUCUUGAGGGUACCUAAUCAAAAAGCCACGGCUAACUCCGUG